AGAGUUUGAUCCUGGCUCAGUAUAAACUCAAAUGAAUUGACGGGGCUAGAGUUUGAUCCUGGCUCAGAACGAACGCUGGCGGCAGGCCUAACACAUGCAAGUCGAGCGCUGCCUUCGGGUGGAGCGGCGGACGGGUUAGUAACGCGUGGGAAUAUACCCUUCACUAUGGAAUAGCCUCGGGAAACUGAGAGUAAUACCAUAUACGCCCUUCGGGGGAAAGAUUUAUCGGUGAAGGAUUAGCCCGCGUAAGAUUAGAUAGUUGGUGGGGUAAUGGCCUACCAAGUCUACGAUCUUUAGCUGGUUUUAGAGGAUGAUCAGCAACACUGGGACUGAGACACGGCCCAGACUCCUACGGGAGGCAGCAGUGGGGAAUCUUAGACAAUGGGCGAAAGCCUGAUCUAGCCAUGCCGCGUGAGUGAUGAAGGUCUUAGGAUCGUAAAGCUCUUUCGCUAGGGAUGAUAAUGACAGUACCUAGUAAAGAAGCCCCGGCUAACUCCGUGCCAGCAGCCGCGGUAAU
rnacentral:rRNA from 1 species